ensembl:lncRNA NRAL NRF2 regulation associated lncRNA
CAAAGUACAAACAAUUUGCCCUUUUAUUUUAUUUUCCUGCAGACUUGCUCUUUGUACCCCUCCUUGGUUUAUGUUCCUGGUGAUCGGGUGUUGGGUUUGAAGAACUUUAUAUAGUAUCACAAAUACCUAGAACUGAUGAGGUCUUUAAGAGUUCAUUGAAUCCUUUGUUCAUCUAAUUUGGGGCUUCACCCAAGAUAGCUGAGAUGAGGAAACUGAAAGCCAAAGAGAUGAAAUGACUCUUCCAAGGUCACCUGCAAGUUGGCAGCCAAGCAAAGAUGUCCUGUGUCCAGGACACAGGUCCUGGACCCCUGGCUCUUUGCUUCCUUAUAUUAGAACAACUCGAAAAAUUUCUAAAGAAACCAAUGCUGGAAGGUAUAACGAGAAUCCAGUGAGUGGGGAGUGGAGUAUGGGAGCAUAGCUUACCAGGAUAUGGUAGUUAUGGGUUCCAAUUUUCCCUGAUAAUAAAAAUUGUUCAAUAUUUUAAAUUAUUCCAGA